UAGGGAAUCUUCGGCAAUGGACGAAAGUCUGACCGAGCAACGCCGCGUGAGUGAAGAAGGUUUUCGGAUCGUAAAACUCUGUUGGUAGAGAAGAACGUUGGUGAGAGUGGAAAGCUCAUCAAGUGACGGUAACUACCCAGAAAGGGACGGCUAACUACGUGCCAGCAGCCGCGGUAAUACGUAGGUCCCGAGCGUUGUCCGGAUUUAUUGGGCGUAAAGCGAGCGCAGGUGGUUUAUUAAGUCUGGUGUAAAAGGCAGUGGCUCAACCAUUGUAUGCAUUGGAAACUGGUAGACUUGAGUGCAGGAGAGGAGAGUGGAAUUCCAUGUGUAGCGGUGAAAUGCGUAGAUAUAUGGAGGAACACCGGUGGCGAAAGCGGCUCUCUGGCCUGUAACUGACACUGAGGCUCGAAAGCGUGGGGAGCAAACAGGAUUAGAUACCCU
rnacentral:rRNA from 1 species